CAUGAUUAAAUCUUUCAUGUUUUGUAUCAUCCGAGCAACUUUCAAAACCUUGGAUGGAUGGAUCUCCUUAAGACCGCGGAUAUAAAAUGGUAGAUCAAAAGAGCACACAGUUCAUAUAAAGUGAAAGUCCGAAGUCCUUCAUUUAAAAACGCAGCUUUCGCUUGUUAAAGCUUUCCCCUGCCGCCGACUACGACCCGAGACUUAGCACAUCUGCUCGACUGCUCUCUCCCUCCUUUUUUCUAAAGAGGGAAACUUUUCACCAAAUAGGGCUUUGCUAAUGGGCGACACAACCGGUGGUGCUUCUCUUCCGUCCACCGGCACCGACGCCAAGAAACGCCGUGUGACCUACUUCUACGAGCCCACGAUCGGUGAUUAUUACUACGGCCAGGGACACCCAAUGAAGCCCCACCGAAUUCGCAUGGCGCAUAAUUUGAUCGUGCACUACUCCCUCCACCGUCGCAUGGAGAUUAACCGGCCCUUCCCCGCCGGUUCCGCCGACAUCCGUAAGUUCCAUUCGGACGACUACGUCAAGUUCCUUUCUUCGGUGUCUCCAGAAUCUCUAGCGGAUCCCUCGCAUAAUAGGCAUCUCAAGAGGUUUAAUGUUGGGGAGGAUUGCCCAGUUUUCGAUGGGCUUUUUGGGUUCUGUCAGGCGUCUGCCGGCGGCUCGAUUGGGGCUGCUGUCAAGCUCAAUCGAGGUGAUGCUGAUAUUGCUGUGAACUGGGCUGGCGGUUUGCAUCAUGCCAAGAAGAGUGAGGCGUCCGGGUUUUGUUAUGUUAAUGAUAUUGUGCUUGGGAUUCUCGAAUUGCUCAAGGUUCACAGGCGUGUCCUGUAUGUUGAUAUUGAUGUCCACCAUGGAGAUGGUGUUGAAGAGGCGUUCUAUACUACUGACAGGGUCAUGACAGUGUCCUUUCAUAAAUUCGGAGAUUUCUUUCCAGGUACUGGGCACAUUAAGGACACUGGUGCUGGGCAAGGGAAGAACUAUGCCCUGAAUAUUCCAUUAAAUGAUGGGAUGGAUGAUGAAGGUUUCCGCAGUCUGUUUCGUCCCAUCAUCCAGAAAGUCAUGGAGGUUUAUCAGCCUGAUGCAGUUGUUCUUCAAUGUGGAGCAGAUUCAUUGUCUGGUGAUAGGUUGGGGUGUUUCAACUUGUCUGUGAGGGGCCAUGCUGAUUGCCUUCAUUUUCUUCGAUCUUUUAAUGUUCCUCUGAUGGUCUUGGGUGGUGGUGGGUAUACUAUUAGGAAUGUUGCCCGUUGCUGGUGCUAUGAG
rnacentral:misc_RNA from 1 species